UUACGGUGUUUAUUUUGGACAUUAAAAUCCCUGAUAAACAUCAGUUUCAAGAGAGUAAAGUGUAUCUGUUCAGCUGGAAGUUUAGUUACGGCCGGUGGUUUGUUCUGAAGGAGCUUGACGUCGUCCCUGAGAUGAUCGCAGACUCCAUAUUUCCCUACAGGCCUCUCUGAAGUCAACCAGCGUCCAUCUUUAUCUAGUCGUGCAAGACUGACCGUGUGUGUGUGAGUUUGUGUGAGUGUGUGUGUGUGUGUGUGUGUGUGUGUGUGUGUGUGUGUGUUUUGAAAGGAAUAGAAUAAUAACUUGCCCUACAGGCUGUGAGCUGAUGAAAUUCAGGAGAGGAGAUUUAUGGCAGUGUUUGAUGAUGAGUGUGAAACCACUUGCUCGCUCUCUUGCUCAGAGAUCCAGCCUGAGAUCAGAUCCACCAGAUGGAAGUGAGUCUCUGUUAGUGAGCAUCACUCAGAAGAAAUGUUGGGAUCAGAAUUUAAAGACCACGUAUUUUCUGGACUUCGAUGUUUUCUGGCGUGUAGAAAAACACGAGGUGAUUAAAAAAGUGAAAGUAUAAAAACCAUCCACUUUUACCUUCUCGUCUUUGGUCCAUCCUCGUCUGUAGUUCUCAGCCCCGGCUGUGGUGUUCAUCCUGAUGUCUGAGAAGUUUGUUUUAGAAUGAAAUAAAGCUCCUCAAUCUUC